CACAAAGACCAUUAAUCUCAACUGGAAUUUGAGCAUGACACCGUGGCUCCUGGGAAACAUCCAGAGUAGUCCUGAGGAAUAUGAGAGACUCACUUUUUGCUCUCCGAGGAAGGAGGGCAUGAUGGACUUGUCCCCUGAGUGCUGCUCUGUAGCGGGUCCUGAUCCAGGUGCGGAGCGUGGGUGCUGCCACCCCAGGAAUCCUACCUGUUUUUAGCUUGAUGCUCAGUCUGCACUCACUGUUGACGCUGUGUGGGGGACGUGGCUUCCGGAUCCAGGAACACGGCCCCACUACAAGGAACGUCCUCAGGACAGGACGGGAGAGGUCCUAAUAACAGUCUUCCCCCUAACAACGCCCUCCUGAUUUAAAUAAAAUCUCACAUUUUGCUUUUAGAGUGUGUAAUAUUAUAUUCCCUUUAUGAUAAAAGAGGAAAUCUGGAAUAACGCAAAAAUAAUGCCCGACGAACGCCUCCACCGGGGAAUUUCUGAACAAUAAUCCCAAAACCAUAGAGGUGUGUCAAUGGGUUUUUAGUGACACUACAUAUCGUAAGUGACCCCGUCUCCCAAAUACAGUCAAUUUUAUCCAGCCACAAAAGAUUCACAAGUGCUGCCUUCCUCCUUUCUCUUCUAAGACCCAUUUCAUACCUUUCCUCUCUGUGCACAGAAAUCUUCUGUAGAAAAGCGGUUUCAAGUAGAAACAUUUUAUUCAACACAUUUUAAAUUCCAAGGAGCCUCCUGGGCAUUUUAAUAAGUAACGUUUAUUACACAAAUCCGACUGUAAGCUUCUAGCAGACCAAAAAUAGGUGUUUGUAUUAUUUUCCAUAUUAUAUUUAGUAGUGUCAUGUAAUAAAGUUCUUACUAAAUAAUGACUGUGUUAACAGGCCCGUGCUAUUAUCUCAUGCCUCCUAGGUUUGGUAGUCGGUUUAUUUUCCUCUAAUGGCAUACAGCUCUGGUUUACACAUAAGUUUUACAAAUUUCGCUUUGAUUUCAGAAGUGUGUUUUUUUAAGAAUAAAUUAAAUAGCUGUGGUCCAUUAAGAAAAAAAUUCUCCCUUUGUGUGUGUGUGUGUGUGUGUGU
rnacentral:lncRNA from 1 species